rnacentral:tRNA from 1 species
CGACGUGUAGCUCAGCAGCAGAGCGCCGGGCUUGCUUCCCGGAGGGCGCAGGGGCAGAACCUGCCACGUCGGCCA